GCUAAGUGACAAUAUCGUUUUCAUACUGCUUUUAUCAAGAACUGUAAAAUAACCAUAAAGAACAUUUCUACUGAGAAACUACGAUAAAAAAUCCCAGCGAAACUCGAAAACAUUUAACUUCCAACUUUUUGCGGACUUACACUUCGUUUUUUUUGUACUUUUCACUCAGUUGCUAUUGACCAUAAUACAGUAGAGGCUUCUAAAAGUUUUCCGCUGCCUAACUUUAAAGUUGCGAAGUAUUUUAACUAUGUAUGGUAGUUGGAACGUCUUUAAGUAGUGCAAAAAAGGCGGAAGAUAUAUCAGUCUUGAAUGUAGACGCAAUAGAAUAUUGAUGAGGCUUACUCUCGGCCCGGCCGCGGUGCGGUGCGGUCUCUUUCGUUCUUAUGUACAUAUUUACGUAUUUUCUGUAAAUAAUGAGAUUCAACCGCAGCUGCUGCGACUAGAUACGAUCGGAAUAGUUUAAGAUACAAGCCAUCGAUUAGAUUUCAUUUCGUAUAAUUCUGCACUUUGUAGGUGGGAUAGUUUCUAGCUGUUUUUAAACUCGAUUGAAUACAGACGAAAUUAUAUUUAUAAGAUUCUGUCGUCAUUGUUUGUCUUAUAAAUUUGAAUGGAAUCUAUUUUGAUGUAUCUAUGCGACUUUUAGUAUUUUGUAAGAUUUUUUAUAUAAUUUCUAUGUUAUAUUUAUUUCGUUUGCAAAUAAGACAAGAAUGAACGUCUUAUAAUUAUUGAUCUGAAUCAAAGAUUACAUUAUUUACAAACAGUCAUGUCAAUCUAGGUCAAGUCAACAUUUAA